rnacentral:rRNA from 1 species
GAGUAACACGUGGGUAACCUGCCCAUCAGAAGGGGAUAACACUUGGAAACAGGUGCUAAUACCGUAUAACAAUCGAAACCGCAUGGUUUUGAUUUGAAAGGCGCUUUCGGGUGUCGCUGAUGGAUGGACCCGCGGUGCAUUAGCUAGUUGGUGAGGUUAAUCGGCUUCCACUCAAGGACCACCGAAUGGCAUAGCCGACCUGAGAGGGUGAUCGGCCACAUUGGGACUGGAGACACGGCCCAAACUCCUACGGGAGGCAGCAGUAGGGAAUUCUUCGGCAAUGGAACGAAAGUCUGAUCCGAGCAACGCCCGCGUGAGUGAAGAAGGUUUUCCGGAUCGUAAAACUCUGUUGUUAGAGAAGAACAAGGAUGAGAGUAACUGUUCAUCCCUUGACGGUAUCUAACCCAGAAAGGCCACGGCUAACUACGUGCCAGCAGCCGCGGUAAUACGUAGGUGGCAAGCGUUGUCCGGAUUUAUUGGGCGUAAAGCGAGCGCAGGCGGUUUCUUAAGUCUGAUGUGAAAGCCCCCGGCUCAACCGGGGAGGGUCAUUGGAAACUGGGAGACUUGAGUGCAGAAGAGGAGAGUGGAAUUCCAUGUGUAGCGGUGAAAUGCGUAGAUAUAUGGAGGAACACCAGUGGCGAAGGCGGCUCUCUGGUCUGUAACUGACGCUGAGGCUCGAAAGCGUGGGGAGCAAACAGGAUUAGAUACCCUGGUAGUCCACGCCGUAAACGAUGAGUGCUAAGUGUUGGAGGGUUUCCGCCCUUCAGUGCUGCAGCUAACGCAUUAAGCACUCCGCCUGGGGAGUACGACCGCAAGGUUGAAACUCAAAGGAAUUGACGGGGGCCCGCACAAGCGGUGGAGCAUGUGGUUUAAUUCGAAGCAACGCGAAGAACCUUACCAGGUCUUGACAUCCUUUGACCACUCUAGAGAUAGAGCUUCCCCUUCGGGGGCAAAGUGACAGGUGSUGCAUGGUUGUCGUCAGCUCGUGUCGUGAGAUGUUGGGUUAAGUCCCGCAACGAGCGCAACCCUUAUUGUUAGUUGCCAUCAUUCAGUUGGGCACCUCUAGCAAGACUGCCGGAUGACAAACCGGAGGAAGGUGGGGAUGGACGUCAAAUCAUCAUGCCCCUUACUGGACUCUGGGCUUACACACGUGCUACCAAUGGGGGAAAGUAUCAACCCGAGUGUGCGAAGUCGCGAGGCUAAGCUAAUCUCUUAAAGCUUCUCUCAGUUCGGAUUGCAGGCUGCAACUCGCCUGCAUGAAGCCGGAAUCGCUAGUAAUCGCGGAUCAGCACGCCGCGGUGAAUACGUUCCCGGGCCUUGUACACA